rnacentral:lncRNA from 1 species
CAGGAUGUACCAUGAAGUAUAUUUGGGAAGACUUCAGGAAGAUUCCAGUCAUGGCUGAAGGCAAAGCAGGAGCAGGCGUCUCACAUGGCAGGAGCCUGAGCAAGAGAGAGUGAGAGGGUGGUGCUACACACUUUUAAAGAACCAAAUCUCACAAGAACUCAGGAUUAUGAGAAGAGCACCAAGAAGAUGGUGCUAAACCAUUCAUGAGAAACCCACCCCCAUGAUUUAAUUAUCUCCCCCCAAGCCCCACCUUCAAUAUUAGGAACAACAAUCUGAUAUACAGCUUGGGCAGGGACACAGAUCCAAACCAUAUCAGUAUGUUAGAAAAACUUAAGAAAUAAUAAGAAACCAGCAAUAUUUAGGGAGUAUCAAAUCUAAUAUGUUCUCUGUUUACAUUAGCAACUUUGAAAAGUAAAGAGAAAGAGUGACAUGGUGAGAAUGGUAAAGUAAGAAAGGCUAAAAAAUAAAUCUGUCCUUCCAUAGAAGCAACAACAAUAUCUGUCAAAAUUCUCAGAAUCAACUAUUUCAGAAUACUGGACAUUAACACAAAAACUGCAGCAAUUAGGUCAAUGCUUAUUCAAGGAGAAACCAGUUAUCUCUAAGUAAGAAGAGUGAGCUUUUGGCAUUUCAAUCUACUUUGGUCUAUCUUCCAUAUUGCAAGUCAGUGAAUGGUCUUGAAGAAAACAGCCGCCAUUUCCAGUACAGGUAUUGAUUAUAGACAGCAGAACAGAUUUCAUUCACCAUACGUUUUUUAAAAAGGGUAGUUGUUUGGGCUUGCCUGGUGGUUGCAUGGAGGAAAGAAUCAAUUACUUUUAUAUUGCCUAACCCUGAUCUCUCCUUGUGCUAAGGUGGAUACCCAGGGAGAAUGUAAUGAAAACAAAGUUCUACUUUUAGCUGUAAUGUAAGCUCUGUGUAGGCAGGCAGUGAAGGGUAAGGUAGAGUUAUAAACCACUUGAAUAAAGCUAAAGGAAUGCCCCAACACACACACACACACACA